rnacentral:hammerhead_ribozyme from 1 species
GUACUGCUGAGGAGUCCCAUAAUAGGACGAAACGGCCGUCGAGUGU